ACGUCGUCCAUCGGAGAAAAGGUGCGACGAAGAGCUGCUGUCCGGGUAUUCGGAGCCACGUGCUAUGGACGGAUCUACGUUUCGUAAGUUGGAUUUAUAAAGGAAAACGAGUGGGACUUUUGGAAAAACACUAACUCUUCACUACACUAAGUCACAAUACAUAUAGUGCUACUAAAUGUGGAUCUAUGAUAUAUGCAAAGUGAUAAAAAUGUCUGAGCUAAUCUUGUGGACUAAUUCUAUUAAUAAUUGAAAGAAAAUUUUAGAAGGUACACUUACGAUUGUCCAAACAAACCAAGUCAUAAAAGUGAUGGCUAGGACUGCUGCUGAUUCCGAUAUCAUCUUUU